GCCUACGGGGGGCAGCAGUGAGGAAUAUUGGUCAAUGGGCGAGAGCCUGAACCAGCCAAGUCGCGUGAGGGAGUACUGCCCUAUGGGUUGUAAACCUCUUUUGUCGGGGAGCAAAAGCCGGACGUGUCCGGCUGUGAGAGUACCCGAAGAAAAAGCAUCGGCUAACUCCGUGCCAGCAGCCGCGGUAAUACGGAGGAUGCGAGCGUUAUCCGGAUUUAUUGGGUUUAAAGGGUGCGUAGACGGGAAAUUAAGUUAGUUGUGAAAUCCCUCGGCUUAACUGAGGAACUGCAACUAAAACUGAUUUU
rnacentral:rRNA from 1 species